UUAUGCUCGGGUGCGCUCCCACACUGUGGAGU
rnacentral:piRNA from 1 species